rnacentral:rRNA from 1 species
GAUGAACGCUGGCGGCGUGCCUAAUACAUGCAAGUCGAGCGAACAGACGAGGAGCUUGCUCCUCUGACGUUAGCGGCGGACGGGUGAGUAACACGUGGAUAACCUACCUAUAAGACUGGGAUAACUUCGGGAAACCGGAGCUAAUACCGGAUAAUAUAUUGUACCGCAUGGUUCAAUAGUGAAAGACGGUUUUGCUGUCACUUAUAGAUGGAUCCGCGCCGCAUUAGCUAGUUGGUAAGGUAACAGCUUACCAAGGCAACGAUGCGUAGCCGACCUGAGAGGGUGAUCGGCCACACUGGAACUGAGACACGGUCCAGACUCCUACGGGAGGCAGCAGUAGGGAAUCUUCCGCAAUGGGCGAAAGCCUGACGGAGCAACGCCGCGUGAGUUAUGAAGGUCUUCGGAUCGUAAAACUCUGUUAUUAGGGAAGAACAAAUGUGUAAGUAACUAUGCACGUCUUGACGGUACCUAAUCAGAAAGCCACGGCUAACUACGUG